GAGAGAGUAAAGUUCAACUCCCUGUCCCUGUUGCCAUGUCUGACUGAGACUUCCAAAUCCCUAAUCUGCUCGCCUAAUCCCCUCAGUCUCCGACUCUCCGUCUCCGUCUCUGUUUCAAGCUCCCUGAGGUAUUCUACGUGGCAACCAUGUGGCUCCAAUUCAGCAAUAAUCAACUUGUUAGUAACGGAAGGACACGAACAGAAAAACUAUUGAUUGAUGUGGCAUGAUAAAAAUAAAAAAGUGUUCAAACGUACUGAACAAAAACUAUGGUUUUCUCUUUUCUAAUUGAAGAACUUUAUCUGGAUGCUGUUAA